rnacentral:rRNA from 1 species
CACUGAGGUGCGAAAGCGUGGGUAGCAAACAGGAUUAGAUACCCUGGUAGUCCACGCCGUAAACGAUGUCGACCAGCCGUUGGGUGCCUAGCGCACUUUGUGGCGAAGUUAACGCGAUAAGUCGACCGCCUGGGGAGUACGGCCGCAAGGUUAAAACUCAAAUGAAUUGACGGGGGCCCGCACAAGCGGUGGAGCAUGUGGUUUAAUUCGAUGCAACGCGAAGAACCUUACCUACUCUUGACAUCCUGCGAACUUGUGAGAGAUCACUUGGUGCCUUCGGGAGCGCAGAGACAGGUGCUGCAUGGCUGUCGUCAGCUCGUGUUGUGAAAUGUUGGGUUAAGUCCCGUAACGAGCGCAACCCUUGUCCUUAUUUGCCUGCGGGUAAUGCCGGGAACUCUAAGGAGACUGCCGGUGACAAACCGGAGGAAGGUGGGGACGACGUCAAGUCAUCAUGGCCCUUACGAGUAGGGCUACACACGUGCUACAAUGGCCGGUACAAAGGGUUGCGAGCUCGCGAGAGUCAGCUAAUCCCGAAAAGCCGGUCUCAGUCCGGAUCGGAGUCUGCAACUCGACUCCGUGAAGUCGGAAUCGCUAGUAAUCGUGAAUCAGAAUGUCACGGUGAAUACGUUCCCGGGCCUUGUACACACCGCCCGU